rnacentral:lncRNA from 1 species
GCGCGUGAGGACUUCGGCGCGCGCCGGAAGCACGUGCGCGGGCUGGGCGCUCUGGCGGUGUGCGCUGAGGCUCCUGAGUAUAACAGAUUGGUUCUGAUUAAAACCAUUUCAGAGGAAAGACAGUGAUCCCAGGAAGCGGGAAGAAAACAGCAUCACCUGAAGUUAUUCCUAUUCGUUAGAUUUGUUUUCUUCCUGCGAAAAACUGCUAUGUACAAGAAAGAAGUCAGUGAGCUGCAGUGAUAGUUAGCAUUAUUGACUGAAACUGGACCAGAGAUCCCUGAAACCUGGACAAGGUGGUAGAAAUACAAAUUAUGCUGCCAUUUCAAAGCUGUGGGCAGUUUUCUACUUUGUGGAAAAUGAAGACUUAGGUAGGCCUUUGGGAAAGACGAUUUGUUUUGGAAAAACCACCCAAAGGGAUCAUUUGGUUUGCAAAUGUAACUGCAGUAUCACAACUGGAAGAAGAAAUAUACAAGGGCGAGGUUUGAAGGAGCCCUUCAGUAUCCUUGGAUGAUACUGUGGAAGAUUCUUUGCAUCUCAGUAACUUUGGAUCUUUGAAGAUCCAAGAAAAUAAAUUUCUUCAAAAUAUUUUUAGAGACUGCUUUGAUUCUGAGGCACUGCUGAUUAUAUGGAAGAAAAAAAUAUUGGAAGAUUAAUUUGUGGUUUUCUCCAGUUAUCGUCUCCCUUCUCUUUGGGGGAGGUUUGUGACGCAGUAAAAACAGAUAUACAAAAGCCUAGGCAUGUUAGAGAUUUGCCUAAGGGAAAUGUAAUUAUGAAGAAGGAUUUUUUCAAGCUGAAACUAGAUCCCACUUUUUUCCAGGUCAGUGGGUCCUUCAAGUAUCUGGUACUUUCCUUCCUGCUUCCUGACAAUGUUAAAGAAUGUGGCAUGACCUUACAUUUAAUGCCCAACGUGAGGAGCCCUGGGGCUUGAUGCAUGAGAUUCUUGGAGCUAGGCCUGGUGGAGGGCACUGGUCACAGCCUCGGUGGAAUGGUGACUUUCUUUGGUAACUGGAAUUGAAGAAAAUGAGUGGACUUGUGUCUGAGCACUUGGGAACUCAGCAAUCCCUGGGUGUUACCUUGAGAAGGAGCCAAAUUCCAGACAUACAAGUGGAGACUUGAAAAUGGAAGCUCAAUUCCACACCCAGGCUGGUGGAGACUAUGACAUAUAACUCACAUCUUCAAGAAAGUAGACACCUCAGAGGUCACUGGGCCACUUUACCUUCCACUGUCAAAACUAUGUCCAUGAUCAGAUACCUCUGUUGCUAGGGAAUAUUCAGUCAGAAUGGGCUAGAUUAACUGCAGUAAUGCAGAUCUCUCAACCCAUUUAUGACUUACGCAGCAAAGUUCCUCGCUCAGACUACCUGUCCACUCCCACGAGCAGAGACUUGCUCAUGGGCCCUCCUAGACCCAGGCUGACCGAGUGUGUUUUAUCUAAAUGCAUCUCCACAAUCACUCAGGUAGGAGUGGCUAUGCAUUAGGACUGAUUGUGCAUUAGUUAGAGAAGCACUUACCAGGAAUUGCUAUAAGAACUUCUAUUUACAUUUCAUGGGCCAAAGCAAGUCAUGUGGCAACACUUAAUUUCAAAGAGGACAGGAAAUGCAAUAUUGUUAUGUCCCUGAAAGAAAGGAGAAGAGAAAGUCUAUGGAAAGACAUUAUGACUACCACUGGAAUUUUCACCUGUCCAGGCAGCUCAUCGUGCUUUUAUUUGAAACAAUUUUAUUGAAGUAUAGGCAUAACUGCACAUACGUAUGUAUUUAUUUUAUUUUAUUUUUUGAGAUGUAGUCUUGCUUUGUUGCACAGGCUGGAAUGCAGUGGCGUGAUCUCAGCUCACUAUGACCUCUGCCUCCCGGGUUCAAGUGAUUCUCCUGCCUCAGACUUCUGAGUAGCUGGGAUUACAGCCACGCGCCACCACACCUGGCUAAUUUUUGUAUUUUUAGUAGAGACGGGGUUUCGCCUUGUUGGCUGUGCUGGUCUCAAACUCCUGACCUCAGGUAAUCCGCCUGCCUCAGCCUCCCAAAGUGCUGGGCAGCCUCCCAAAGUGCUGGGAUUACAGGCGUGAGCCACCGCACCUGGCCUGCACAUAUUUAAAGUGUACAUUUUGACAAUUUUUAAUAUAUAUGUACGCUUGUGCUUGCUGCUCCAGGGGACCGCUAUUUCUAGGCCUUUUCAGUGGACAGAGGCAUUUUUGUGAUUGUUUUAUCUCAUUUGUCACUUAGGAAGAAUAACUUCUUGUGAGGUUUAGUGGUGGUUUUGGGGUUGAUAGUAUAGGUCUUCAUCACAGUCCACCUCCAAGUGAUAAUACACUACUUUAUACAGAGUAUAAGAAACUGACAACCAUUUGCUUCCAUCCUCCCCCAGCAUCUGUGCUGGGGAUGUUGUACUUCUACAUAUGUUGUACACCCACAUACAUUGUUAUUGUUUUUACUUAAUAAGCUACUAAUUCUCUGUCUCUCUUUUCCUUUUAAUUGUGGUAAAAUAGACAUAAAAUGUAGCAACUCAGCCAUCUUGAAAUGUACAGUGGCAUUAAAUAUAUUCCCAUUGUUGUGCAACCAUCACCACCAUCCAUCUCUAGAACGCUUCAUGUUGCAAACCUGAAACUCUGUACCUGUUUAACAACAACUCCCCAUUCACUUCUCCCCACAGUGCCUGGCAACCACCAUUUUACUUCCUGUCUAGGAAUUGGCUUCUCUAGGUACAGUACCUCAUAUAAAUGGAGUCAUACAGUAUUUGUCUUUUCCUCACUGUCGUAUUUCACUUAGCAUAAUGUCCUCAAGAUUCAUCUGUAACAUUGUAGAAUGUGUCAGAAUUUCCUUCCUGUUUAAGACUGAAUACUAUUCAAUACUUUGUACAUAUAUACUGCAUUUUCAGCCAAUUCUUUUCAAUAGAUUUAAACAAUAAGAAAAAAGUGUUUUAUAUUUACUCACAUAGUUACCAUAUCUAAGACUCCUUAUUCUCUUGUAUAGAUUAGAUUUCCAUGGUCUCAUUUCCCUUUUGUCUGAAGGGCUUUCCUUGACAGAUCUUGAAGUGUAGAUCUCCUGGUGACUAAUUCUUUCAGCUUUUAUAUGUCCAAAAAAGUCUUUAUUUCACUUCUGUGUUUGAAGCUAUUUUUGCUCAAUUUCGAUUUUUAGGGUUUUCAAUUUUUUUUUUCUAACAUGAAGAUACUGUUUCAGUGUUUUCUGGCUCAUUUUGUUUCCGAUAAGGAGUGAACUGCCAUUCUUAUCUUUAUUUCUUUUAUGCAACGUGUCUUUUAUCUCUGCUUGGUUUUAAGAUUUCAUCUGUAUCACUAGUCUGAAGCAAUUUGAUUAUGAUGUGCCUUGGUGUUGAUUUUCUUUAAAGUUCUUGUCCUUGAGUUUCACUGAACUUCUCUGGUCUUUGAGUUUAUAGUUGCUAUCAGAUUUGGAGUUUUUUCAGCCAUUAUUUCUUCAAAUAUUUUUUUCUGCCCCUGCCUCUCCUUUCCUUUGGCGAUUCUACUACACAAAUAUUAGAUCACUUGAAUUUGUUUCACAGCUAACUCAGGCUUUGUUCAUUUUUUGUCAGUCUUUUUUCUUUCUGUUUUUCAUUUUCGUGUAAUUUCCAUUGCUGUGUCUUUAAAUUCACUCAUCUUUCCUAUAGUAUCUAAUCUGCUGUCAAUUCCAUCCAGCGUAUUUUUCGUCUCAGGCAUUGCCAUUUCACCUGCAGAAGUUUCACUCGGUGUCUGGACCUGCAUCUGGGUCCUCUGGUUUCCGUGUUUAGUGCUCAAGCAUAUGGAACAUGUGUCAUUUCUACUAACUUUAUCACCUAAGUAAUUUCUGAGAUUGUUUAUAUUGAUUGGCUUUUCUCUUCAUUGUAGGUAAUAUUUUCCUACUUUACAAGCCAGAUAAUUUUUUAUUGAAUGCCAGACAUUGAGAAGUUUACUUUGAGAUACAUAUAAUGUUUAUUUUUAUGAAUAUUUUUGAGCUUUGUUCUGGGGUGCAGGUAAGUUCCUUGGAAAGAGCUUGAUGCUUCAGGUCAUGUUUUUACACUUUUUUUAGGGGGUGGGCCCUGAGCAGCAUUCUACUCAACAAAUCCUUGAGUUGUGAAGGUUUUCACCAUGAUUGGCGGAAUUCGGAGUUCCUCUGGGCCGUGCCAUCUGUCCCAGUGUCAGGCACAUUUUAGGUGCCCAACAAACAUCUGUGGAAUGAAUGAAUGAGUGCUGGCACCACCUAUAAGCACACAGUAAGGAUAACCAUGGAGAGAAUAUGCCGAGCCUUUUAAUCAGCCCAGAAGAGCGCCUUCUGUGUUAAGGCGAAAUGCCAGAAUCCCAAGGAACAGAUUCACCACCCAGGGGCGGGACUCAGGGACUGCUGAUACUGAGGCUGCCCUGUGGGUUUUCCUUCCAGAUCCCUUCUUGAUUUGCCCAAAAGAAUUUCACGUUUUGUUUCAGUUAAGGAGAGGCCUUUCCUUACUGCUGACUUUAAGGAAACUGGAAAUUGUGCUUGUGGGGGAAGUGGCUUUGGAACUUGGGGCCUCUUUGGGACCUGGUAGGCAAUGGGGUUUGGGGGCAAGUUUGUGGGACAUGUGUCUGAACAGGAAGGAAGGGAGGAGCAGUGGGGCCAGCCAGGAAGCAGUGCCGAAUGCAGAUUUCUCUUCUUGUGCAGCUUUGCUUAGAGUUGAACAUUACUUCCCAGAGAUAGAUUGACCCCAAUCCUGCAGAGAUUGGCUAUCCUGCUCUUCAACUUAUUUUUAGAUAUAUGGUCUCACUUGAAUCUCACAUCCAAUGAGGAGUUCCUGACCCCUCAAUUUAGCUCCACCUGGCAUUCCAGAGCAAUUCAAGGACCUGGUAGGGCUACUAGCAAUCCACUGCUACAUAUAGGGGAACAAUGAGUUUUAAAGCUGCUCAGAAAUCUGUGAUUCGAGUAUCAGGAAAUCCUUGACUCUUUAUCAAAUGUGAAGUUGCUGAUUUAAGAAAUAAAGUUAAGAAACAAUAUUCAUUAACAGAAUGGAAUUUAAUGCAACCGCUGGUGUUUUGGGGUUAUUUUCUGGUCACAUAGUGCCCCCUGGUGGGUUCACUGACAUACUCUUCUGGAAUGCUCCUUUCCCAGGCUGUGCUUUGUGACAAGGCCAGCACCAGCAGGGUGAUUCCAAGAAUUUGCAGUUUAGGCACAGUCCAACGAUGCUCUAAAGAUUGUCUGUUAAGGGAAAAUAUGAGUUAUGAAAAUGCUGUGGGUUGUACUGUAUCCCCCACCAAAAGAUACGUUAAAGUCCUAAGCCCCAAUACCUGUGAAUGCAGACUUAUUUGGAAAAAGGGUCUUUGCAGAUGUAACUAUGAAACUAAGGUGAGGUCAUUAGGGCAAGCCCUUAAUCCAGUAUGACUGUGUUCUUAUAAGAGGAGGAGAGGCUGGGUGCAGUGGCUCACACCUGUAAUCCCAGCGAUUUGGGAGGCUGAGGCGGGAGGAUCGCUUGAGCCCAGGAUUUGCUGGGCAACAUAUCGAGACCCCAUCUCUACUAAAAAUUUAAAAAUUAGCCAGACAUGGUGGCACGCAGCUGUAGUCUCACCUACUUGGAAGGCUAGUGGGAGGAUGGCUUGAGCCCAGGAGUCCGAGGCUGCAGUGAGCUAUGAUCAUAUCAAUGCACUCCAGUCUGGGCAACAAGGGAGACCCUGACUCAAAAAAACAAAACAAAAACAAAACAAAACAAAACAAAAAAAGAGGAGGAGAGAGACACACAAGGAGAGAAUGCCAUGUGACAAUGGAGACAGACACUGGACUGAUGCACCUGCAGACCGAGGAAUGCGCAAGGAUUGCCAGCAGCCCCCAGAAGCCAGGAGCGGGACAUGGAAUAGAGUCUCUCUCAACCCCUCAGAAAGUUCUAAUCCUGCUGAUGCCUUGAUUUUGGACUUCAGCGUCCAGAACUGUGAGAUGAGAUAUGUUUGUUGCUUAAGCCUCCCGGUUUAUGCUGCUUUGUGAUGGCAGCCCAAGCAGACGAAUACAGAAAGAAAUGGGGAUUUGAGUUGGAAGAACUGCUUUGAGUCCCAGCUACCACUUAGUACCUGAAUGACCUUGGGCAAAGAAGUUCAAUUUUUCUGAGCCUCAGUUUUAUAAACUGCAAAAUGGAGAAAUACAAAAGUAACUGUUCUCCUGCCUCAGGAUCCCUGUGAGGAUGAAGUGUGACUAUGUGUAUAAAAAUAUUUUGUUUAUUGUACAGCACUGUGUACUGCAAUCUUAUUACACAAAGAAAGGAAGGUGGGAGGUAGUAGAGCGGAGUGAUUACAAGCUAGGCUCUGGCUGGGCACAGUGGCUCAUGCCUGUAAUCUCAGCACUUUGGGAGGCUGAGGUGGGUGGAUCACCUGAGGUCAGGAGUUUGACCUGGCCAACAUGGUGAAAUCCCAUCUCUACUAGAAAUACAAAAAAAAAAAAAAAAAUUAGCCAGGUGUGGUGGUGGGUGCCUGUAAUCCUAGCUUCUUGGGUGGCUGAAGCAGAAGAAUCACUUGAACCUGGGAGGCAGAGAUUGCAGUGAGCCAAGAUCGCGCCAUUGCACUCCAGCCUGGGCAACAGAGCGAGACUCCAUCUCAAAAAAAAAAAAAAAAAAGCUAGACUCUGAAGUCAGUUUGCCAGGGUCUGUGAGUGGAAAUGUUACAAAGAAGCUUCUCAUGAAAACUUGACUCUCAAAUGAGCCAAAGGCAGUGAUGCCCAGAAAUGGAGUUGUGGUAACACUUAAAGGAAUGUAUCAGUUGUCUAUUGCUCUAUAAUGAACCCCAAAACUUAGUAGCUUCAAAUGAUUAGCUUAUUCUUUCACACGGUCUCCGUGGAUCAGGAGUCAAGGGCAACUUAAUUGGGUGCUUCUCACUUGGAGUCUCUUGUGAGACUACAGUCACCUGAGGUUUAGACUGGGGCUGGAGGACCCACUUCCCAGAUGGCUCACCCACCUGGCUGUCGGCAGGAGGCUGCAGUUCCUCUCCAUGUGGUCGUCUUCACAGGUCUGGACUUGGGAGAGGGAUCUGGACUGAAGUGGAGGAAUCCAGUACAAGUAGUGGAGCCGUCUGAAAUCUUGAGAUGGGGUCUUGCUCUGUCAUCCACGCUGGAGUGCAGUGGCACAAUCAUAGCUCACUGCAGCCUCAAGAUUCCUAACUCAAGCAGUUCUCUUGCCUCAGUCUACCAAAUAGCUGGGACUACAGGUGCAUGCCACCAUGCCUGGCUAGGCUUGUGAAAUUUCUAUACAACAACCUCAUUUCUCUGUUUCUUACAUUCUAAACUCCCACGAAGUAAGUUUGUGGAUAUUUGACUUGCUGAAAAUCAUACAAAUGAACUUUCCUAAUUCUAUUUUCUCUGUGGAACACAGAUUAUUAAAGUGAGAAUUAAUGUGUGCCUGGGACAGUUUUGGCUUCCACCUGUUGUCCAAGUGUAAUUAUUAAUUGCACCCUCCCCUAUUUGCUCACAAAAGGAGCACUGGUUAUUAGAUGAAAAAUCAUAUGGUCAUCUGAAGUUAAGAAACCUCAAAUCCAAUUUUGUUGUAGUUUAUCCUGUUUUCUCAUCUGUUAAAUGAGAACAGUUCUCAUAAAUUUUAUAUAAGUAGAUGAGAGAUUAGAAGGAAAGGCUUUGAACUUACUGGA